rnacentral:rRNA from 1 species
AUACGUAGGGUGCGAGCGUUGUCCGGAAUUACUGGGCGUAAAGAGCUCGUAGGUGGUUUGUCGCGUCGUCUGUGAAAUUCCGGGGCUUAACUCCGGGCGUGCAGGCGAUACGGGCAUAACUUGAGUACUGUAGGGGAGAUUGGACUUCCUGGUGUAGCGGUGAAAUGCGCAGAUAUCAGGAGGAACACCGGUGGCGAAGGCGGGUCUCUGGGCAGUAACUGACGCUGAGGAGCGAAAGCAUGGGUAGCGAACAGGAUUAGAUACCCUGGUAGUCCAUGCCGUAAACGGUGGGCGCUAGGUGUAGGGGUCUUCCACGACUUCUGUGCCGUAGCUAACGCAUUAAGCGCCCCGCCUGGGGAGUACGGCCGCAAGGCUAAAACUCAAAUGAAUUGACGGGG